rnacentral:ribozyme from 21 species
GCUGGUAAAAUCCUUUCCCAACCUCCACGCGGUACCGGCUGGAAUAUGCUCAUAGUUGAUGCAUAUACUGACAGGGAAGG